rnacentral:rRNA from 1 species
AUUGAACGCUGGCGGCAGGCCUAACACAUGCAAGUCGAGCGGAUGAAGGGAGCUUGGUCCUGGAUUCAGCGGCGGACGGGUGAGUAAUGCCUAGGAAUCUGCCUGGUAGUGGGGGAUAACGUCCGGAAACGGGCGCUAAUACCGCAUACGUCCUGAGGGAGAAAGUGGGGGAUCUUCGGACCUCACGCUAUCAGAUGAGCCUAGGUCGGAUUAGCUAGUUGGUGGGGUAAAGGCCUACCAAGGCGACGAUCCGUAACUGGUCUGAGAGGAUGAUCAGUCACACGGGAACUGAGACACGGUCCAGACUCCUACGGGAGGCAGCAGUGGGGAAUAUUGGACAAUGGGCGAAAGCCUGAUCCAGCCAUGCCGCGUGUGUGAAGAAGGUCUUCGGAUUGUAAAGCACUUUAAGUUGGGAGGAAGGGCAGUAAGUUAAUACCUUGCUGUUUUGACGUUACCAACAGAAUAAGCACCGGCUAACUUCGUG